GACGUAGGGCGCGAGCGUUGUCCGGAUUAUUGGGCGUAAAGAGCUCGUAGGCGGCUUGUCGCGUCGACUGUGAAAUCCCGCGGCUCAACUGCGGGUCUGCAGUCGAUACGGGCAGGCUAGAGUUCGGUAGGGGAGACUGGAAUUCCUGGUGUAGCGGUGAAAUGCGCAGAUAUCAGGAGGAACACCGGUGGCGAAGGCGGUUCUCUGGGCAUUACCUGACGCUGAGGAGCGAAAGUGUGGGGAGCGAACAGG
rnacentral:rRNA from 1 species